rnacentral:siRNA from 1 species
UAUCACUUCGCCACACCACCUGAC